rnacentral:lncRNA from 1 species
UCAUAAAUAUAUUAGAAGAGAAAAAAGAUUGAAAAAUAAAAUUGUUGGGAUUUAACAGAUAAAAAUGAGCGAAGAAGCAAAAUAGUGUAUCAAUAAAGGAGAAAAUAGCAAAAAAAGAGAUGUAUGAAAUGUUGCAAUGGAGUGAUAAAUUUAUAGAGGAAGAAUAUGACCGUUAGGGUCAUUUUUAGGGACAUUUUUGUACAACUUUAUUAAUUUGGAUUUUUGGAGGGAUAUAAUUGUAAGGGCAAAAUGGACAUUUCACUUAUAAAGAACAAAGAUGACCGUUGGCAUUUUUGCAAGGACAUUUUUGCAAAUGUUUAUCAGUUAGGGCUUUUGGAGGGAUAUAUUUGUGAGGGAAAAACUGUCAUUUCACCCAUUCACUGUUAAAAAAUAAACAGUUCACUAACGGAUGUUAACUGCAGGAACAUAUCUGCAUAACAUUGCACUUUUGUAGGGACAACUUAUGGAGUUUUCAAUUUGCAGGGAUAUUUCUGCAAUUCACUAUGUUUGCAGGGACCUGUAUGCAAAUAACCCUUUAAAAAUGUCACUUCUAAAAGUGACUUUCAAUAUCAGUUGUUUGGACCGACCGUCCCUAGAGCAAGUGGCAAAGGGCUUGGUGGUUCGUACCCGAGAUCCAAGUUCGAAUCCUAGUUGAUUCAUAUUUCCAGCUAAGUUUAUUUCAAAAUGAAAUAAACGAAGCGGGUAGCGUGCUACCUAUCUCUCUCUCUCUCUCUCCAAAAAAAAAAAAAAAA